AAACUGAGAGGAGACGAAGAGCUCACCUCCCUGCUCUGGCACCCCAUGUUAAAGCAGUGGGUCUGCUCCUAUUGCACUAAAGAAAGAACUUCCACUUCUGAAAGGAAAGGAACAAAUUUGAAAAGCAGAGCAACAUUAUUCUACAAAAGGCAACCAUUUAUCGAGAUUGCUGAACCUCCUAUUCAACAAAUCCCUCAAAAUGAAAAUAAAAACAGAAUGAAAUUAUGAAAAUAUCACACAGUGGGACAAACCUGGCACGUUGUUUGACUCAGAGCAUGAAGGAAUGAGAUUCAGUCC